UACGUAGGGUGCGAGCGUUGUCCGGAAUUAUUGGGCGUAAAGGGCGCGUAGGCGGUGCGGUAAGUCACCUGUGAAAACUCUGGGCUCAACUCAGAGCCUGCAGGCGAAACUGCCGUGCUGGAGUGUGGGAGAGGUGCGUGGAAUUCCCGGUGUAGCGGUGAAAUGCGUAGAUAUCUGGAGGAACACCGGUGGCGAAGGCGGCUACCUGGCCCAACAUUGACACUGAGACCCGAAAGCGUGGGGAUCAAACAGG
rnacentral:rRNA from 1 species